AUUCUCACUAAUUGGACCAAUCCAUGUUGUUGGAGCUAUAUUUUUAUUUUUGUUUAUUUUGGGUUUAAGUUAAUUUAUAGCCUUACUUAUUUCUUUUUCUUUUCCUGUUAAAGUUAAUUUGGUGUAUUUUGUAUUCAUGCUUUACUCGUAUUGUCGUUUAUUGGUCACAUGGUGUUAUGUUCAUUUGCAUAAGUAGGUCAAGGUGGGAGGUACUUCAGGCUCGAGGGCAUAUGGUUUUUUACCAGCGUGAGAGAGGCAGCAGAAAUGUCUGUGAGCUUGCUUAUGUGUGUGAAUAAACCGCCUCAAACUCAAUCUUGUUAUGGACAUUACUUUGCUUUGGUACCUCUGAACCUGCGUAAAGCCUAACCAUGACGUAGCCUCGAGUGGCCAUUUGAGAAGUUUGUUAUUAUUUGUUUUUGUUUAAGUUUAUGGACAAAUAGCCACUACAAUAAGUAAAAAACCCGCCCUGGAUAUAUCGUUGGUUUACGUGGAUACUGGACUUGUCGUUUGCUGGAUUACCGUUUCGAAAGUGGAUUACUCACCUGGAUGCGGGAGACAAACAAAGGAAAGGGCCUAGGAGUGACGGAGGUGUGGGCUGGAUACAGUGCAAACAUCGAAUAAUACGACCCAUCCGACAGUGUAAAGUUUCCCUGGACACCGUACUGGAUAACGGUGAAGCUACUGGAGCGCUGGAGCUGCACUACGGAGUGGAGGAUAUUAUUUGCUGCAAUUUGAAUUCGCAAAGGCCCAAAGCCUUCACAGGUAACGCGCACGGCCGCGCGCAACAACAGCUACUGCGUGCAUUCAACUCCGUGUACAAAGGCAACCACCGCAACAAACAAAGUUCCACAAGCAACAUCAGAGCAGUGGGUUUGGAGAACAUGGAUUUGGACAGGGACCAACUCCCUGUGGAAAGAGCUCUGGGGAUGCAAUGGUGUGUUCAAGGAGAUACGUUCAGCUUCAGGACUGCAGUGCAGGAACGUCCACACACUAGAAGGGGCAUCCUUUCUGUGAGUUGCAGAAAAGGACGUAGUGAAAGCGGACCAAGACCACUCCACCGCCAUGAAGACGGGGGCCUGUGGUAAUCAGAGUCUGGGUGAAGUAUGGCCUCUGCACUGCGUGUCUGGCAGCAAUUAUGGCAGCAAAGGGAAGAGGAUUAAGGUACUAUCCCAUCUCGGCCUUCUAUUAGUGGGAUUGAUGUUGUUGGCCACCCUCCCGUUUGGAGCAAGCAUCAAACAAUCUGUGCCCAGGGUCAAACUCAGCCAAAAUGGUAAGAAUUUUUUCUUUUUAUUUUCUUUUUGUUAAAAUGUUGUAUGGAAUUGUAUAUGUCCAGUAUUAAAGUGUGAUGAAAAAAUAAGGUUUGGGUAGUUUUAGGCCAUUUUGGAUAUUUUAUCUCUUGCCAACAACCCUCAUCAUCAGUACACUUUAGAGUGACUUUAAGUUACUGACUCACAACUAAGAUUCUCUUGAUUUUCAUGUAAUCUUUUUCACAUUUUUCUUUUAUUUAAGCCAUUCCUGUCUUCAAAGCCCAUGUCUAGCAUUGUCCAUCUAACAUUUUGUCUCCUCUACAGUAUUUCCCUUGUGGUCUUAUCCACACAGUCAAGGGAAACGAGUGAAAUGAAUGAUUCUUAACAGCAUAACUCAGUUAUGUAAAUCUCCUUUGAAACAACACUGUAAAGUAGGAGAGAUGUAAGACUCCCUCACUGAUCUGUCAGCCCACUGUAUAAUUCACUGGUCACAUAUUGUAAAACAACAGCACAAUCUAUUAACCCUCCCAUUGAUAUAUAUCUAGCUCAGAAGCGCACAGUUACUUAAAUACAACGCUGUUGCAGUCCAUAUAUUUCACGUUGACGCUCUCAGUCCGCGGUGAAGCCGUCGUUCCUUUGUACAUUAGCCGGUCCUGCGCGCUCUGUCGAUGUGUUUAGUUUUGCGUCAACUGUUUGCUUUAUGCCACCUGGGGCGAGCUGAAUUAUUGCUCCCCUUAAAACCCAUUCGGAACUCCGGAGCAAACUUAACUUCAAAGUCUCCAUCUGUCUCAUUCUACAUAUCAGCUAAAAAAACCCCACAUAAAUGAACUUCAGUCUCGCUCCAUAAAAUUGAAUUGAAUUGAAACUCUCUUUGACUUCAAACCUCCAGAAGCUCUCUCUUG
ensembl:lncRNA